rnacentral:rRNA from 1 species
UACGUAGGUGGCAAGCGUUGUCCGGAAUUAUUGGGCGUAAAGCGCGCGCAGGUGGUUUCUUAAGUCUGAUGUGAAAGCCCCGGGCUCAACCUGGGAAUGGCAUUGGAAACUGGCGGGCUGGAGUGUGGCAGAGGGGGGUGGAAUUCCGCGUGUAGCAGUGAAAUGCGUAGAGAUGCGGAGGAACACCGAUGGCGAAGGCAGCCCCCUGGGCUGACACUGACGCUCAGGCACGAAAGCGUGGGGAGCAAACAGG